ensembl:lncRNA
UUAUUCACUGUGUGCCCUGAAGAUACAGGUUGAUUUCCAGAGAUGCUGAGAGCAUGAAUAGCACCAAAGCUGCUGGUGUGCAGAGAUCUCUCCAGAUGCUGAGACCAGACAUCCUGCGCUGCACGAGGGCCAUUCUUCAUCCCACACAUAUCCACUGUAACCACCCUAGGACUUCCACUCAGGCAAAAUGAAGAAACCUCUACUCUACAAAAAGCAAUCAUCUGCCUACUGAUGCUAAAAACAAAGAGCUGCCCAAAGGCUUGGGAUCAUGCUGUACAGGAGCACACAAAGGUUCAAGUGCUUAUCUGGACACUAAGAAGUCUUUCACCCAAGCAAGUUGCUUUGGAGUACAUUAGCCUGGGGCUUGAGGGAUUUCACUAUUUACCAAUUUAUUUUUUCUGUAAAGCCAAUUUCUAAUCAUCUCCUGCCUAUUCAUCUACAUAAUGUAGUAGACACAAUAGGAACAGGCAGGAAGACUGAAUUUAUUUUUGUCCAAACCUUGACUGAGGACCAAGAAAACAGACGAAAAUAUUUAUUAGCUGCUGCAGAUCUGCCUUCAAAUUUCAAACUGAAUAGAGGACCCUUCAUCUACCUUCACAAAAUCCAGAGACAUCUGAAACUCUGUUUCACUCCCCCUUGUUCUCAGUAAGAGACUAUUUGGGCAUGGUUAUGGUGUUAAGUCUGUACAACUUUCAUUUCAACACCAAUCACAGCUCAUGAACUCUACUGGGAGAAGCACGGGCAGCGCUUGGUCUGGGGACACACAACUGGUCUCCCUCAUUCCGACUAAUAUCAAGCUACUUAUUUAACAGCUUAGACUAGGGUAAAUACAGGACAAGCCUAAAUGAGGAGAGAAUCUUGGUUGCACAUCACAAACUUCUUUCUCCAUAUCUAGUGACUACAGCAAGACACAAAUGACAAAAACAUCCCCAGUGUUUUGCUGCUACCAGGUGAUUUGCUUCUGUCCCUUUGCAGUUUUAGACAUUAAUAAAAUGAUCUGAUGGAGAUAUUCACAGCAUUCAGGCAGCCAGGUUGCGUGAUGGAAGAAGUACAGAGAUAUCCCCCAUUAUGGGAUAAUGAAUGAUGGAGAGGCAUGGGCAGUUAGGCACACAGGGGACAGUGACAGAAAGCAUACUUGAUUAUUUUAAUUUCCUAAACAAUGAGAGAUCUGAAAGGUUAUUUAAACUUCAUACUCUCCUGCAUUUGUCUGAAGCUAUUAUCUCGCCCAAAGCUCUCACCUCUGUGCAACCCAAAGAGACUUCAAUACCAAACCGGUGAGAUCUAAUCAGAGUUUAUUGCUUUUGGUAUAAACACUGCCACAUUUUUUAUCUUUUUUAUUAAAUUUACCAACUUGAACAUCCAUAUUUGGGAUCGAAAGGUGAUUCCUGCACCCUGCCUCAGAGUGCUAGGCUAUAUUUCUCAUACAAUAAAAAACCUUUUCUUUUAAUUUGUC